GUAAUUGUUUCUGUCACGGUUUGAAGUUGUUUAGAGAUUUGGUUUGAUUGCUUACUUGUUUCUCUUCUCUAUAGCAGGCUGCAGCGAGGGAGCCAGAAGAACAGAGCUUGAAAAUGAGUGAUUCAGAGGAUCCCGAGCUGGAGGAAGAGCUUCAGGCUGCUGACGAACUCCUUCAAGAUAUGCAGGUAACAUUUUUAGUGGAAACAGUUGUUAAAGAGGGAACACGCUUGUCUAAUAUUUUGUACGGAGUAAACGUUAUGUUAUUUGAAUUUUUUUUAAAGUUUAUGUCAAAUUAAGUUGGUUAACUUAAGAUGUUUGAUAAUCUUUGCUUUAAUCAUAGACUGUAUUUUAGGUGUUCCCUUUUUUCCUUGUUAAUUGCGUAGAAUGAUGCACAGAGUGAACCUCAGCCAAGACCAGUGCGCUGGAAAAAACGUGACAGACAGGGAGCUUUUAUUCCUCAAAGACCAUCAACCAGUCGAAGUACUAGUUGCAUGCCACGUGUGUCCAGAGAGCAGCAUCAAUGUCCACGUGAAGAACCUAGUUAUGUUGCCAGUGUCAACCCAACAAAAGUUCGGCUGUUGCCUGUGCAAAGGCCAGACCAUGUGUGUGACUGCCCAGCAGGUAACGUUGAGGUUUCACCCGGCGCAAUUGUGGCUCUUGUAACCAUAAAUGGCCGUUAUAACCUUGCACUGCCAGUGGUGAGCUGCACCAGCUGUGGCCUAAUGUGGUCCCCCUCAGUUAAGGACAUCCUGGGUAGUGGAUAUUGGCCUGGCACCUUAAAUUUCUGCACCCUGUUUUCAAUGGAUGUCUUUCAGUCUUUCUAUGACAUUAAGAAGGCUGCACCAGGGAUGUCACUUAAGGCAUUUGUCAAAAUGCUGGAUGAACGAACAGCCCAUUUUGGAAGGAAUGGCCGAAUAUCAGCUGAUGCCUUCAGUAAAAGUUUCUUGGAGUGGAGUGCUGUAAAGUUUGAGGUGGACAAGAUGUGCAAGGAGCCAUGCUUUAGCUGCCCUGCCUGCACUCCAGACAUGCUUGCCGUCUCAGUUGAUGGAAACCGCAAGCUUUAUCGCUUUCAGUCUAAUGCAAGCACUUCAGAGCAGGGGAACUUUGAAGGUGUCUUCAUUGAAAAAGAUGAGGAAGUUGCUGAGUUUGUGAAAUACAUCCAGAGACACACAAAUCAUUGUAUAGGUCCCGGGGAAAGGGUUGUGCGGAUCUUCAUCUUGGACUGCAGCAAAGGAGUCGUCCAAAAAGUCCACUGGGAAGUUGGAUGAGGAGGGCAUGGAAAUAGCUGUUUGUCGCCACGGAGUCCUCUUAGCUGCAUUGAACAUGUUUCGAGGGGAGAUCUUUGCUUACCCCCUUUUUCUCCAGAGGAAGUUGGCAGCUAGCAUCCCAGGACAUAUUACGUUCCUUUGCUCCGAUGUGGCCUGUAAAUAUUUCCCCUAUUUAACCAAGGUGGCUCAGCAGUGCCCUGAGCUGAGGAACCUCUUGUCAAUGCGUCCUUUUCUCUCCGUCAUGCAUGCAAAGGCUCACACUUGGAAAUGCGAGAUCAAAUGGGGAGGUGCGUUUCAGGAUGGGGCCGGUUCAACAGUUGGAGAAGAGGUGGAACAAGUAAACAGUUUCCUGUCUAGGGCGGCCAUCACAACGAAGUACAUGUCUAAAGCAGGGCGAACAGACAUGCUGACCCUCCUGGCUUUGGGGUGGAACAAAAGGAAAGUGGAACAACUGGGCCGCACUUUGAGCCAGUGAUAUCUAAAGGUCAUUUUUUCAACACCCAUUUUAAUGUGUGUGGUAAUGGGGGGGAAAACACCAGUACUCUUUUAAU
ensembl:lncRNA